rnacentral:rRNA from 1 species
UAGUUGGUGAGGUAACGGCUCACCAAGGCAACGAUCAGUAGCCGACCUGAGAGGGUGAUCGGCCACACUGGAACUGAGACACGGUCCAGACUCCUACGGGAGGCAGCAGUGGGGAAUAUUGCACAAUGGGCGAAAGCCUGAUGCAGCAACGCCGCGUGAGCGAUGAAGGCCUUCGGGUCGUAAAGCUCUGUCCUAUGGGAAGAUAAUGACGGUACCAUAGGAGGAAGCCCCGGCUAACUACGUGCCAGCAGCCGCGGUAAUACGUAGGGGGCAAGCGUUAUCCGGAAUUACUGGGCGUAAAGGGUGCGUAGGCGGUUUAUCAAGUCAGGGGUGAAAGGCUACGGCUCAACCGUAGUGAGCCUCUGAAACUGGUGAACUUGAGUGUAGGAGAGGAAAGUGGAAUUCCCAGUGUAGCGGUGAAAUGCGUAGAUAUUGGGAGGAACACCAGUGGCGAAGGCGACUUUCUGGACUACAACUGACGCUGAGGCACGAAAGCGUGGGGAGCAAACAGGAUUAGAUACCCUGGUAGUCCACGCUGUAAACGAUGAGUACUAGGUGUCGGCUGUCAAAGGUCGGUGCCGGCGUUAACACAUUAA